UUUGGCCCGUUAAGUCAAACGGAGGGCAUUUUGGUCAUUUCGCCUUCCGAGGUGAUUUUUGGCCGACUUGCCCAGUUGAGUAAAUAAUUAAUAUGACAUAAAAUAUAAAGAAAUAUUACUAGAAAUGAAAUUUAAAAUGAGUAGUGAAGGAAAGGAAAGAAAAUGAAGAAAAAGAUCAAUUAUGGCAUCAUGGUGAUGUCAUUAAGGGAGUUGGACCAAUCACACUUAAGCCAUUGUUUGACUAACUAUUAAAAGAGACUAAAUAAGACCAAAAUAACAAAAUUUCAGCAGCCAUCUUCCUCACCCAAAAACGUUACAUUCUCUCCCAAAACCCUAUUCUUCCAUGGGAGCUUAAUGGAAGCUUGAGACAACCCACCAAAUCACCAUAAAACCUUUAGUCAUCUUCACAAAAAUUUGCCCUAGCACCUUGCUAAAGCUUUUGGCAGCCAAGAAGAAGAAAGAAAGUGAAGCUUUCUCAAGCUUGGAUUGGCAUACAACAAGGUACUGGAGAUCCCGAUCGUGAGCCCAGUAGACCACAGACUGGGUGAGUCUAUCUGACAGUUCUGCUCAGUGUCCGUGUCACCUCACUACCUGCAGUGCAUCGGUAGGGCACUAGGUGUCAUUUUGUCAUUUUGAUAUUUUGUAGCAGAUUUGUAUUUUCUCAUAUGUAUUUGAACUCAUGUAAUAUAUUUUGAUGUAUAUGUAAAUUAUGAAAAUUGUAUUUGUUAAUGGAAAAGUAGAUGUUUACUUGUGAUUUA